UACGUGAGGGGCGAACGUUGUUCGGUGUCACUGGGCUUAAAGGGUGCGUAGGUGGUUGCGUAAGUAAGGUGUGAAAUCCCUCGGCUUACCCGGGGAAUUGCAUUUUAUACUGCGUGGCUUGAGGACUAAAGGGGAAAAGGGAACUCCAGGUGUAGCGGUGAAAUGCGCAGAUAUCUGGGGGAAGGCCGGCGGCGAAGGCGGCGACCUGGAUAGGUACUGACACUCAACUACGAAAGCGUGGGGAGCAAACAGG
rnacentral:rRNA from 1 species